rnacentral:rRNA from 1 species
GUUAGGAAUAUUGGACAAUGGGCGCAAGCCUGAUCCAGCCAUGCCGCGUGAACGAUGAAGGCCUUCGGGUUGUAAAGUUCUUUAGCCGAUGAUUAUAAUGACUGUAGUCGGAAAAUAAGCCCCGGCUAACUUCGUGCCAGCAGCCGCGGUAAUACGAAGGGGGCGAGCGUUAUUCGUAAUCACUGGGCGUAAAGCGUGCGUAGGCGGUCUCGUAAGUUAGGAGUGAAAGCCCAGGGCUCAACCUUGGAAUUGCUCUUAAAACUGCAAGGCUAGAAUCUCGGAGAGGAUAGCGGAAUUUCCAGUGUAGCAGUGAAAUGCGUAGAUAUUGGAAGGAACACCAGUGGCGUAAGCGGCUAUCUGGACGAGUAUUGACGCUGAGGCACGAAAGCGUGGGGAUCAAACAGGAUUAGAUACCCCAGUAGUCC